UGCCCUAACUCAGUUGGUUAGAGCGUGGUGCUGAUAACGCCAAGGUUGCAGGUUCGAUCCCUGUACGGAACAG